UCCUAAGGUUCGGGUUGCGAAGCACUGUUUGCCUUGUCCUUAAUUGCCUGGGACUUGAUGGGACGCUCCUGCGCAGGUGCGGGCCAGGAGAGACCCGCUAGGCAAACUUCCCGUCCUCAGGGCCAAGCCCAACCCAGGGGAGGGACCAGGACACCUGUCCAAAUGGCCACCAUACCAGCCAGGACAAGGAGGCGAGGAACACAUGCUUGGGGAAACCAAAGGAGUGAGCAGAAGAUGGUUUCUUCACACGCACAGAUACCUAUCAAGUGCCAAGUACAUGCCCAACGCUGUCCUAGCUGCGGACGGUAGAGCAGCACACAAAAUCUCUGUCGUCAGGGUGAGAAGCUUAUCUGCUUCUACAAGGCCAAGUCUUCAACAUCCCAUGUGUGCGUUACCCUCGGGGCAGGGCACACUCGGGAAGGACUAAGCACACACCCGGCGCUCAGCAGCCACCUGCGUCUCGGCUGUGGGCUGGACAGCGCGUGUCCACGGAAUGGGGAUGGUGAGGACAAGGUGGGGAUUAGAGCGGAAUGAAAUGAGUGAGGCGCCUACCUUGGGAAAACGAAAACCGUAAGGGAGCACCAAAAACACCGGGAAUACCUCCUCAUCAAGACAAGUUGUAUUAAAAUAGUAUUUCUCUUGAUGACUGAA